AUUGAACGCUGGCGGCAUGCCUUACACAUGCAAGUCGAACGGUAACAGGUUAAGCUGACGAGUGGCGAACGGGUGAGUAAUGUAUCGGAACGUGCCCAGUCGUGGGGGAUAACUACUCGAAAGAGUGGCUAAUACCGCAUACGACCUGAGGGUGAAAGCGGGGGACCGUAAGGCCUCGCGGCAUUGGAGCGGCCGAUAUCAGAUUAGCUAGUUGGUGGGGUAAAAGCCCACCAAGGCGACGAUCUGUAGCUGGUCUGAGAGGACGACCAGCCACACUGGGACUGAGACACGGCCCAGACUCCUACGGGAGGCAGCAGUGGGGAAUUUUGGACAAUGGACGCAAGUCUGAUCCAGCCAUGCCGCGUGCGGGAAGAAGGCCUUCGGGUUGUAAACCGCUUUUGUCAGGGAAGAAACGAGUUUCUCUAAUACAGAGACUUAAUGACGGUACCUGAAGAAUAAGCACCGGCUAACUACGUGCCAGCCGCCGCCGUAACAC
rnacentral:rRNA from 1 species